AUUGAACGCUGGCGGCAGGCCUAACACAUGCAAGUCGAACGGUAACAGAGAGCAGCUUGCUGCUUUGCUGACGAGUGGCGGACGGGUGAGUAAUGUCUGGGAAACUGCCUGAUGGAGGGGGAUAACUACUGGAAACGGUAGCUAAUACCGCAUAACGUCGCAAGACCAAAGAGGGGGACCUUCGGGCCUCUUGCCAUCGGAUGUGCCCAGAUGGGAUUAGCUAGUAGGUGGGGUAAAGGCUCACCUAGGCGACGAUCCCUAGCUGGUCUGAGAGGAUGACCAGCCACACUGGAACUGAGACACGGUCCAGACUCCUACGGGAGGCAGCAGUGGGGAAUAUUGCACAAUGGGCGCAAGCCUGAUGCAGCCAUGCCGCGUGUAUGAAGAAGGCCUUCGGGUUGUAAAGUACUUUCAGCGGGGAGGAAGGGAGUAAAGUUAAUACCUUUGCUCAUUGACGUUACCCGCAGAAGAAGCACCGGCUAACUCCGU
rnacentral:rRNA from 1 species